GACGAACGCUGGCGGCGUGCUUAACACAUGCAAGUCGAACGGAAAGGCCCUGCUUUUGUGGGGUGCUCGAGUGGCGAACGGGUGAGUAACACGUGUGUAACCUGCCCUUGACUUUGGGAUAACUUCAGGAAACUGGGGCUACUACCGGAUAGGAGCUCCCGUUGCAUGGUGGGGGUUGGAAAGUCUCGGCGGUUGGGGAUGGACUCGCGGCUUAUCAGCUUGUUGGUGGGGUAGUGGCUUACCAAGGCUUUGACGGGUAGCCGGCCUGUGAGGGUGACCGGGCACAUUGGUACUGAGGGACGGCCCAGACGCCUACGGUGGGCAGCAGUGGGGAGUAUUGCACAGUGAGCGGAAGCCUGAUGCAGCAGCGUCGCGUGCGUGAAGACGGCCUUCGGGUUGUAAACCGCUUUCGCCUGUGACGAAGCGUGAGUGACGGUAAUGGGUGAAUAAGCACCGGCUAACUACGUG
rnacentral:rRNA from 1 species